AUCAAAUGGGUGGGUCAUUUGUGGAGUGGCAGCGGCACAAGAAACCAAGUGUGAUUUGCCUACAGAGCCGUAAUCUCAUGUUGCAUGGCAGCACGCCAAUGGAGGUCUUGAACAGCCUGCGAAAAACUUAUGGGUUCUUUAAUGACCGUGAGGUUAGCUGUAUAGGAUUUAUGGUAGGGUGAAAAACAAUUAUACGAUAAGUGGUGAGAGAGUGGAUGAGAGGUACCUGAUGACUUAACCACGUUCAUUGAAGAUGUCGAAGUAAGUCUUGACGAAAGAGAGGUCUCGACGUGAAAGUCCUGCAAAAAUGAGGAAGGCUUUGUGGGACGUAUGACACGGUGGAGUGGUAAUGGUGUAGGUGCAGGGCUGGGCGGGGUGAAAUAAGGACAGUAGGUGGUGUUUCUGGAGAAGGCAAGAUCCUGUUCGGUAUUUGUGAUGGUGAUAAAGGUGGCUGCAAUAUUUCUGGUGUUGGUGGGCAUAUAAGGUUUGUGUGGUAUCAUGGGAUUCAAGAGAUAACUUGUUAGAUGUGAUGACUUGAGGAAUGGUGGGAGGGAAAGAGUCCAUAUCUAAGUGCAAUGGUGAGAAGUUUGUAUUGAACAAGGAAUUAGAGGCAGCGGAAAUGUCUGAGGUGUGGUAGGGAAAUUGAUCUCAAAAAAAAAAAACAUCCCGUGACACAAAAACCUUUCGGAGGGUAAGAUCAAAUAAUCUGUAACCUUUUUUUACCAUAGGGAUAACCAAUGAAAAUGCGACGACAUGCACAAGGGUCAAAUUUUAAAGGCAACUCGUAGGUGAAAGUAAUUCAGUUCCUUGUGAAACAAUUUUUCAUAUGGUGUUUUUCCUUGAAGAAUUGGUGUGGGUGUUCGAUUUAUGAGAUAGGCAGAAGCUAGGAUUGCAUCCCACAAAAACGUUCAAUUAGGAAGAUUAGCUUGAAAAAGUAAGGCUCGAGCAACAUUAAGCAAGUGUCGAUGCUUACGUUCAGCGACACUAUUUUGUUGUGGUGUGUUGAUGCAACUAGUUUGAUGGACAAUUCCCUUGAGAUUAUAGAAAGUGUCAAGUUUGAACUCAAGACCAUUGUCACUUCAAACCAUUUUGACCUUAGUAUUGAACUGAUUUUCUACCAUGUGGAUGAAUUGGACAAGGAAUUCUAUUGUAUCGGAUUUGUGUUUCAUCAAAUAAAUUCAUGUGCUCAUAGUAUAAUCGUCAACGAUGGUGAGAAACUAUUUUGCACUUGAAAUAGAAGUAACUUGAUAACCACCCCAAAUAUGAACAUGGAUUAACUCAAAACAUGACUUAGUGGAUAUGGAACUCAAUGAAACGGUAAUCUCAUUUGUUUGGCCAAUGAGCAAAAAUGAAACAUUUAUUUGAAUCACAAGAUUUAUUUUGGAAAAAAGGAAAUAACAUGGAAACUUUAUGCGAUGGAGUGCCCAAAAAGUUGAUGCCAAAAGCUAUAAGGUGGGGUUUUGACAGUUUUGCAUGUUCCUUUCUUUGGUGGGUCGAGAUAAUAAAGUCCAUCUCGUUCAAUUCCCGUCACAAUCAUCUUCCCUGAACGUAGGUCCUGUACGACACAAAAUUGGUUUAGAAAGAUUGUGAUGUAUAAUGAGUCAUAGGCUAAUUUGCUAAUUGAUAUCAAGUUUAACGUAAAGAGUGGUACACACAAAACGUUAUCAAGAACAAGGUUGGGAAAGAAAAUAACUUGUCCAACAUGAGUAAUUUUAGCAAAUGAGCCAUUUGGUAAUUCAGCAGUAUGGUUUUCAACGGGUCUUGAAGAUGCGAGGGAAUCAGGACUGCAAACGAUAUGGUCUGUGGCCCCACUAUCCAAAAUCCAAACUUUUUUCUUGUCAUUGCAUGUGAAAGAAAAAGCUUUACCUGAAAGUUCUUAUGGUUUGAAGAAUUACCCACUUGGUUGGCAAAAUAUGAUUUGUUCCUGUUCAGCAUUUGGAGAAUUUGCUUGCAAUCCUCCUGAGAAAAAGGAAAGUUAGGCAUCACUUCCCUUUUGUCGUGGGUUGCAACUUGAUUGCCUUUGGAGGAGAAAGGUCGACUUUGUUCACUCUCAAAGGCUGUCUUCCUCUUGAGGCAAAAACCAAAAAAGUGACCCUUCCAUCCACAGAAGGUACACUUGAGAUAAGCACGACAAUUUUUAGUAGUGUGAUUCGUCUUGUUGCACUUCCCAAAUCGAGGUCCACCGUCCUCUUAUUCAGCUUCUCGGCUAGUGGUUUUCACGGCAAAUUCCGCAACUUCUGGUUGGGUAAUAUUGUUUUUCCCACCGGAAACUUCCGCCUGUCUCUCAACACGGAGAACCAAUGAGUAGGCUUUGUUUACUGUGGGCAGUGGCUCAAGAGAAGAAUGUUGUUGCGAACGGUGGCAUAAGAAUCAUUCAACCCCAUGAGAAACUUCAUGGUCUUCUGUGUUUCAACGUACAAAGCAAUCUCCUUCUUUGUUUCACAAUUACAUGCCACAAUCGAACAUAGUACUCCUCGUUCAUCCUAGAGACUUUUUAGUCUGGUGAAGUAGGAACUUACUAUCAUGAUUCCUUGCACGUAGCUGUGAAUCUCAUUCUUUAUGUAAAACAGUUAGACGAUGUUCACAUGAGAGUUUGCCCUAAUACGUCUAAACUUGUCUAAUUUCAUUACUUUGUUGUGGAAUAUUUGAUAAGUAUUUAACGUCAUUUCUUUUUUGUUUUUUCACUUUUAUACCGUCUGUUAUACAUUUAUGUGAUUAAAUCUACAUGAAGAAUAUUAGGGUUCCAAACUUAAUGCGUGUGAUGUCUCUAUGACGAACGUGACUAGUUCAUGUUAAUUUGUACUUAUUUAGGUGGGAUUUGAGUAUUGAACCCUUGCCUUAUGUACUUAAUCACAUCUUUUAAGUUGCCCAAACUCUCAAUUUCUUUGCGGCAGUGCGCAGUCGAACAACAUGCAGCCUUGCCCCCACAUUUCAAGGAAAUAUCAUUUUUUUUUUGUCGAAGGAAAUAUCAUAUCAAUUGGGCAAUUUCAUGGGUGGAGAAGCUGUUGAGAGCCUGCAUGCAAAUGAAUAGGAUGAAGUUGUUGCCACUAUAGAUUGUAAAAGAGUUAAGGAUACUGAGGAAGAUUUUGUAAAAGAGUGCUGCAUUCUCGAUAGAGUGCUUCAUGCGUAAGGAUGGCAACGAUUCGGAUCGAAAACUUUUGCACUCUUAUUUAUUUAACUGUGAAAAAUAUUGGUACACAUAACCACAAAUUAAUCAUUUACAUGAUAACGAAUUUCCCAUCGUUUAACUUUACUAGUUUACCCAUUUCACCCAUAACAAAACAGAAAAAAACAAAUUUUUUGUAAUUAAUAGAAGAAAAAAAACCCCCAUAUUUAAUCACAUUAUGUCAAUCACGGUCUAGUGGUAUUCCUCUUCACUUGUAAGUGAGAGGUGUUAGGUCCGAUUCUCGUCAAAGGGGAAUUUGAAUCAUAUUAUCGCUAGCUCAUUGUAGCACUUAGCACACUCCCAAUAAACAGCCACCCUCUCUCUCAGUCUCUCUCGAAGCAACUGCUGCAAGCAUGCAACUCUCUCAAACAAAAGAACAAAGCCUCCCUCCACCACACAAAUACGGCCAGCCACCACCACACACAACCACAAGCCACCACGAUCCGGCGAUUCUCCAUUUCCCUCUCUCAGACUAUCUCUUUCUAGGAGUCGGCGUCUCUCUCGACAAUUUCUACAACAACGGUGAGCUAAGAACUCUCCAUCUCGCAUUUUGAUUUUUCAUCAUUUACCGUCGCUUCUUAUUCUCUGAAAUGGAAGAGACCCCCGAUGAUUGAGAUCUUGAACGUCAUGCAAGAAAUUAAAAGCGAGAAGCCCCGGUAAUCCUCUUUAUUUAGGGAUUUAGGAUUAAUUUUUUAUUUAGGAUGCAUGUUGAAUUAGGGAUUUAUGAUUUAGGGCUUUUGAUUGUUGCUGCAUUUGGAUUUGGAUUUUUGGAUUAAUUUUAUGUGGAUUUGGUUGAUUUGGAUUUCUGAUAUUGGAUUUGGAUUUGGGUUUGAUUUGUUUAUGAGGCAAAUUCCUAUUGAAUUGAAAUUCCGAACUGUACGACCGAAUCCAGAAACUUGUUUUGAGAAUACCGAAAUUUCGGUUCGGUUUUGAUUUUCAGAAUCCCAUCCUGAUAAAGAUUGGUUGGAGAUUCGACUGAUCGAGAUGGCGAUUCGUACCACCACUAGUUUUGAUCAAGGUCUAAAAUAUCGAUGAUAUCGGAAAUAUCGGUAGUCCAAAAACACGAAAAUUUCGAUGAAAAUAUCGGGAUAUUAUCUGUCACAGCUCGUCUCAAGAUUCUAUUUGUCGAGGUUGUGAAAUGACGAAAGUACCCUUGACGGUUACAAAGGUAUGUGUAUGGCAUGUUUUGAAUAAUGUAUAUUUUCCUAAGUUUUGGAAAAUUUAAGUUGGAUUAAAGGAUGUAUGUAUAUUUGUGUGGUUAGGGAAUUAAGAGUGACUUGUUUUUGGGUGGACCACACACAAACGCACGGGACAAACCUUUCAUUCCCUGUGCCGUCUCUCUCUUCCCUCGCAGCUCACACUCUCUCUCCCUUCGAAUUGUACGGACCAAAGCACAAAACCCUCGAAUCACCACGGAUCGACGCCAAUAAGGUGAGAUUCUUCAUCCUUUUAACCUCCUGAUUUGAAUGGUGUUACUUUUAGAACUGAAAACUUUAGAAAUCUCGUCGAACCCGUGACCCAUUUUGAAAUCACUAUUCAUGCACACAUGAAUUGUUGAAUUUCAGGGAAUUCUAAGCCUACAGUGAGCUUAGUGAGGUUCUAAGGAAGCUCGGAGUGCUUAGUUUGAAGGUUUUGGACGUCGGGAUUGUUGAGUUCUAAGUUGGCCGGUUUUCUUGGAAUUUCUCCGGUGAGAUUUCGUAGUUUUUAGAGCCUUAAACUAGUACAUCGUGAUUCUACAUGCUUAGGGCUUCAUUUUGAAAUAAAAUGCAUGAAAAAUGGUUGAGAAAUGACGGAGAACAAGGAGAUUAAAAAAUCUCCAGUUUUCCGAUGACCGGAAAAACCAAUCUGGCGAUUGGAGGAAGAAUAUGACGCGUGUAGGUCUGUGCCCCUCCCGGCACGUGGGGGCGCGUGUGGCCUCGGAAAUUUUUUCUAAAAAUACCUCGACGUCCGUGACGUCGAGUAGGUCACUGUGGUAUAUUCAUAUACUCAAAUUGAGCAUCGUAUGAGAAGUUAUUACGAAUUGUCGGUUAUGUGCUUUAAAUAACAUUGUUUUAGUUGUUUUGCAUAUAGGUGAUACCUAUCCUGAGGACAAGCGCAUCCAGGGACGUCACGGGGGUUACGACCCUUCGACUUAUCAGUGAGUGGGCAGUUGUUUUCUAUUUAUACCUAUAUACUAUUGAUUUCCCAUAAAUUGAAUUUAUAUGAAAGUAUGUUUGAAAAUGCCAUGCAUGCAUAUUGUGAAUUAUAUGAGUUGAUAAUUGAUGCAUAUAUAUAUAUAUAUAUAUGCGAAUUGGUGAUGUGGACGCACAGGUGAGUAUCAGGUGAGUUUUAUGUUAUUUAUGUGAAUCAUUGAUGAUAUGAAUUGUGUUGAGAGCUCAUAACAUGCACCCCUGGUGUUAGUGUUUAUAGUAUUCACCGCACCGCACGCUCACCUUGGAUCCAAGUAGGUGCAUGUCGUACAGACCAUGAGAGGGUUCCGACAUGCUAGUCGUACAGAUCACUUAAGGUGGUUCCGACUGGUAGGUGACCUUAGAUUAUGUGCACAGAUGAUUGAUGAGAGAAGCACUAGAGCGUAUUAUUACACCAUUCUUGUUGUACAGACUACUUCAGGUAGUUCUGACUUAUGUGCAGAGUAGUGUCGUACAGGUCACCAUGGUGACUCCGAUUGGUUGGAUAUUGAGCUAUGGAAUUAACCGUACAGGACCAACUGCAGGGUCUCCGGUUGAUUCAUUAUGUCACCUGUUAUAUUGAUGCAUCCAUAUUCUGUUAUUGACAUUUAUGGCAUGGCAUAUUUUCUGGGUUUUGGUAAAGAUUGGUGAUUUGAGAUAUUUGAAGAAGUAUAUGCAUAUUAUGUUAUUUUCUGGGAAAGUAUAUAGGUUUUACAACGAAGGGUUAGAAAUGUUUUAAAUAAAAUGUUUUUGAAAAACUUUGGUUUUACUGACCCACUCAAUUUUGUUUUGCGCCCCUCCAGGUUCUAGUUAGCAACGUUGGUGGCCCACGAGGAUUCCCACGGCGUACUGACAGACUACAUAAAUGUAGGACUCACCUGCGAGUGUUGUAAUUUAGUUAUGGUCCUACUUGACUACACCUAGUACUUAUGCUCUGAAUUUGUGUGUUUCACACUUAAACUUACUCUAGCAUGCUAGUUGGAUAUUAUUGCUAGUAGUUGGUUUUUAUUCCUUCGUAUUUCUCUUAUCUUUUGCUUCCGCAUCGCACUUUUGGUUACGUCACGCUCACGUGAUGGCCAGCACACCUUGAUUCUAGGAUCGGGGUGUGUCAUUAUCGAUAUCGAUAAAAAUUAAAUAAAAACCACGGAAAUUGUAAGAAAAACUUGGAAAUUUUUAUUGAAACUUUGCAGGAUGUUUAUUUAGUCAAUUAUCUAUUAGUUUAUCACAAAAAAAAUGGAAGGAAAUGCAUUGCAUGAUGAAUUUAACUGAUUUAAGUUGAUUAUAUAGCGAGCUGACAAACAUUGUGAGUGUAGAAAAUAUGUAGUAAUUAAUGAAAGAAGUUUAAACAUACCAUAAUCAUUUAUAUAUAAUGAAUUAGUACAAUAUUUUACACUUUAUACAUUGCAUGGUAAGAUACAUGAGUGACUUAGUACCACAUAGAGUUCCUAUCAAGGUCUAAAAUAUCGAUGAUAUCGGAAAUAUCGAUAGUCCAAAAAAACGGAAAUUUCGAUGAAAAUAUCAAUAUUUUAGACCUUGGUUUUGAUCUGGAAAGAAGUUUGAUUAUGGAGCAUGCAUAUUCACUUUCUACUUGUGCAAUCUGACUUUUAGAAGACACAUAUACUUCAACACCUCUGCUUACAUUAGUAAGCGAGGUGGACAACUCUAAGGCGUGCAGUGGUGAAUUGCAUAUUGAUUUACUGCUAAAAAAAGGAGAGGAAAAUAAAUAAAAAUAGAAAAAACUUAUAAAUAUAUGCAAUACCUAACAAAGCACUUAAAGACUUUCGAAGUCGUGGCCUACUGGCAUGCACACAACACGCACGCACACACGAGACACACGUGUGUCACAGUGGGGGAAACCCUAGCAGCCAGCUCAUUAGACUAUUUCCAACCCUUGGGUUAAAAGUCAAUUUUUUAAGCCCAUAAAAUUUAGCCUUUAGCCUAUAAACAAUUUUUCUACUUUAAUCCUUCUAGCCUAAAAUUUUAGUCCGGGAUUAUUAAAGAAUGAACUUAAGCUAAUUUUUUUUCUUAAAUUAACCUUUUUAAAAAUAAAAAAAAUUUAUGUAGACUAUCAUAAAUUAAUUUUAUGAACAUUUUAAUCUAAAAAUAUUUAAAUUCCGAUAAAUAUUGAAAAAUCACUAGAUCGAUACAUGAAACACUAUGGAAGAAUAUGAAAAUCAUGAUAAAGAUGUAUAAACACAAAAUACAUAAAACACACAAGACACAGAACACAUGUGAAACACAUACAAAACACAUGUGAAACACAUACAAAACACAUGAUAGAGAUGAAGCACACACAAAACACAUGUGAAACACAUGACGCACACGAAACACAUACAAAAUACAUACAAAGCAAGCCUUCAACUUUCACUAAUUGGUCAACUUUCACCAAACUUUUAACUUUCACGAAUCAUUCAACUUUCACCAAACUUUCAACUUUCAUCAAUCAUCCUCUAUAUAAACACAGGUUGAAUAUCAGUUGAUCGCACAAUCUUUCAACCUUCAAUCAUCCUCUAUAUUCAUCAAUCUUUCAACUUUCAAAGUGUUUUUGUUUCCUAAAAAUCCUCAAUAUCUCAUCAAUGGGUGAUAGAAAAAUGUGUAGCAGGGCAAUGCAGAUGGCAUAAUACAAAGCAAGCCUUGACAUUGAGGAUAUAUAAAUGAUCAACGCAGAAGCUAAACUUGCAAACUUGCUUAUACAAUAUGAGCAUCAUGCCAAAUCUAGCUAUCGUGGUUCUGUUACGGGGCGUUCAUUUGUGCAGCGUGAUAGAGAGGAGUGUCAUGACCGAAUGAUGAAAGAUUAUUUCAUCGAGUCGUUGGAUUUAAUUAUUUUAGCUGUUGGAUUCAAAUUUGGGCCGUUAGAUCUUUUUUAAGCCCAGAAAAUUUAGCCUUUAGCCUAGAAAUAGUUUUUUUGCUCUAACCCUUCAGGCCUAAAAUUUUAGUCCAAGAUUUUUGUAGGGGAUGUGGAGUGCUCGGCGGCGGGAACGUUGAGCCUCUUCAUCAUCCCAAUCGAAGGGUGAGGUGACAGCUUUGACAACAGAGGUGGCCGACCUUAAGACUGAGCUAGCCUCGUAUAAGUGCCAGAUGUCACUAAUUGUAUAGGCCCUCAGUCAAUCCCGCAUUCGUCUCCCGGAUAUUCGUCCCCUAUCGACGUGCUAGCCCCUCCAACCUGAGCAUGCCCAGAACUCUGCCCCUUCGACCUCUGAGCCUGUCCUCAACCCCGACCCCUUCUUGCCCCAAUCUUUCCAUCUGCAUGUGAACGACGACCCUGUAGAUUAUUCCCCAUUUUUUUCUUAGUUGUUUAGUCCCUUACUUUUAAUUUUUUUUCUUUGUACAUACAUUUUAUUUUUAUUUUAAACAAAUUAUUUUUCUUUUCAUUACAUUAUUUUAUUUUAUUUUUAUUUUAUUAUUUUAUUAUAAAAUUAAACCCAGAACAAAAAAUAUAUAUAUAUUUUUUUUUGCGAAUAAUAGCUUCGUCGUGCAUACUUUUUUGCGAUAACUCACUUUCGUUGCACAAAGUUUUUACACAAAUAUUAGUCGUUCUAAGUUUGCAUCCUGGCAUUUUGUGUGACGAACAUAUUCGUUCCUAAAAAUUUGGUGCAAUGAAUGAGGAAUUGUCAUGCUUUAUUUUCCGCGACCAAUGCUUUUAUUCAUCACGCAAAGUCUUUCUUCACGAUUUUUGCGCGACUGAUUCUACAUGAAGAAGUUUUCGUCGCGCAUACGUUUGUGCGACGCUAUGAAACUUUGCGCGACCAAUUUAUGUUCGCCGCACUAAAUGUUAAACGCGGUGGUGAUUGAAUUUUACUUUAAUUUGAGUCUCAACUCAAUUCAAGUUCAACAAACUUUUAACAAAAUGGGGCUGAAAAUUUUAACUAGAAUGAACGAGCCAAGGAGAUCUCAAAACCCUAAAUUACGAGUGGGUGGGAAGAAUAUUUGAGUGCUUGUAAUUGUUGCUCCAUAUGAUAAGCAAGGCUCCUAUCACAUGUGUGAUUAGUUUGCUUUUGUGUUCUUGAUCGCUUAUAUAUCAUUUUGCUCUUAUUGGUUUAAGGGAAUAAAGGCUCAAACUUCUUGACAUUUUCCUGAUACUUCAAUAAAUCCAUUGAAAACUUACUAAAUUGUUCCACAAAUGGGCAAUUUGAUUCUUACUGUUGGAGGAAAGAUCAGCAAUUUUCAGUUGUACUGCAGAAAGGAAGAAUACAGGAGAAUAUAUAUGCAGGAUGGCUUUUGAACGGCAACUGAAAUUUAAUUUUAUUGCUUUCAAUUUUUUAUUACAGCACUAGGCCAAUCUUAUUAUUGGCUAUUUUUUAAUAACAUUCAUACCUUUUGAUAACAGCUAUAACUCUUGGAUAAGUUCCAAGAGACACAACUCUACAUUACAGAAAGUGCAUUACGUUUAACACUUACAUCAUUGACUAGUUGAUCUAAGGUUGUUACAUAUAUCCUCCUUAGGUUCCUGAGUAAUCAUCUCAAAUUCCUGCUGAAAUCUCUCCAUGGCCGAGGAUGGCAAACACAUGGGUACCAAUAUUCCAUCCUCAGUGUUGUUUUUGUGUUGAACAUAGAAGCUAACCAAAUCCAAGGCCUUGGCGGGUCCAGCAAAUACCGGCUGUCCCCAUCCAAAAUUGACAUCUCCAAAACCUGCACGCGUAUUAUCAGAAACUAUUAAAUAACUUCCUGUCGAUGAAUAUUGAGGUCGCCCUCUUAGUACCAAAAGAUCUGCCACUGAUCUUAAGUAUUCUUCAUUCAUGGUAGCUUUAGCCUUCUUCACCAACUCCAAAGCAUAUCCCAUUGGAUUUUUGCAUAGAGGUUCAGCCUUUGAAACUGCAGCUGGAAAUGCAAAUGCAUUGCCAUAGUAUCCCAAGGGAAGACGUACAUUGUGGUGCUUUCCCCGUGCAUUGACAGUGCAUGAAACUCGAACUGCCUGUUUUGGAUUAAUUUUGAGUGCAAGAGUGCGACAUUUCCACAAACAAGCUGUGAUCAAGUCAAAUGUGGAGCAAGUGGAAAUUAGGUGGCGUGGAAUCUGUUUUCGAAGGACUCUCAUCUCCUUGGCACCAAAGUAGAAAGAUCGUUGAACCAUGUUUGACUGGUUACUGGAUGUGUAUGAGCCAUCAGAAUGAUCAAUCACGUCUUCAUAUUCAUGAUGAGCACAUGUAAUUCUUGGUGGAUUUCGAGCGAACAAGAGCUCUCUCUCCCACACUGGUAGAAUAGAUGGUGCAUGUGCGCCUCUUGCCAUCUCCGCAAUGGCGGUCAGGAACUGGAGCAAUCCAAAUGCAUCACACAUUGUGUGGUUUAGGCGCAAUGCAAGUAUGAAACCUCCACAUGUAAGACAGGUCACCUGCAUAUUGCAAAAGUUAGUUACUAGACUUUUUUCUUGAUCAUCAUAUUCGUGCUAGUUAACAAAAAAAAAAAAAACAUCUAAAUUAGAUGAUCUAAUUAGGAAAUCUAAAUUAGAUGAUCUAAUUACGAAACAAAAAUUUCAUAAAAAUUAGGAAUAAAAUUAAAAAAGGAUGGAGUCUCGUGCCUGUUUUAGUUACUUGAAAGAGUCUUUAAAUAUAGAGGAAUUUAGACAAAAGGCUUAUAGAAGAGAAAAAUUUAGACAGAAGACAAAGUGGACUACAUGACGACAUGCAAAAAACCUAGAAGAAGAACGGUAAAGAAAACCUACACAAUAAAGGUGAUGUGAGACUGGUAGAAAACCUAGGACCUAAUUAGGCAGAUACCAUUUAGAAAUAUAAUUUCCUCAAUUCGGUGUGUAUACAAAUUUUACAAUGUAUAGGGUUAAACAUAAGGAUUGUUGAAGAAAAAUUAGUUUCGAAAAAUAAUGAAAAGCGUCUCAUAAUCUUUUCUUUCCAAAACCACGUAAUGACUUUCUUUAAUCAUAAGAACAAAGAGGCGUGGUCGUAUUGUAGAUAAGUUCAAGUUUGAGUGUGGUGGCAGUAUGAUAAAUUUUCGUUUAUGAAAAGGGUUGCCAAUUUUAUGAAAAAGUUAAAAACGGUUGCGGUGCCACCAAACUUCAACUUAUUUACAAUAUUGUUAGCGCUUUCUUGUUUAUGUCCUUAUUUGUCAUUAAAAUUUUCAUAUGUUGUUGAUUGCACUAAUUUCUUACAAAAAAUCUCCGGCGUGUGUAUGCGACCUUAACGCAAAAAACACUACUCAUACCCUUAACCUACUUCAAACUUUUUGUGAAGAAUUAAUGGCUAUGACCAAAUAAUAUGUAAUUGAUAAUAUGUAAUUGAUAAUUAAUUGACUCACCUGAAUCAGCAGCAAAGGACAAUCAAUAAUUCCAUCAGAGCCUGGAAAAUUAUAUAAGAACUCCUCUAAAAGUGGACAAGGGGGUAGAAUUUUGUCUCCUAGUUGCUCAAGUGUGACAUCAGCAGAAGCCUCAACGAACAAGAUACCUUCACCAUUGCAAUCGACCACGAGCUUUCUAUUAGGCCCUUCCCUAAGCCUUCCAGCUAAGGGGUAGUAAUACACUAAUGCUCUACUUAAGGCUUCCCUAAUUGCCUUAACGGGAUUACGAUUUUUAUUAAGUGAAGGGUUGUCUUUGUAACACAUUAUGAUUGGAAUCUGAACUCUCAAGCUUUCUUGGUCGUCAAUAUCUGAGAGAAACUUUGUUUCUUGAGGCGUUGACUUUGCCGGAGUUAUAAGUUCCGGUUGCAAUCGUUUCACUUGAAGUACUGAGAAUGACAUCAUUUCAGUAACGAGCUUAAGAACCAGCAAAAGAUCAAAGGAUUUGAAACUUUUAUUUGUGGUAUGCAUGCUAACUAAAAGUUGAUAGUCAGUACUUAUAUAGCGUUAUGCAGAUGCUCUAGUGCUCCCGAAUCUUUCGUCCAAGUUUCCACCUGUUGUGAAUGUGAUUCUUUUCUUUUCCAUUAAAAAUGUUGUUAGAAAGGAACGUUUAAAUCACGCAAUCAACGUGGACCGCAAAGAAAACAUUGUACGUACCUGCCCCAAUCCACAGUUCACACCACAGAUUCGUACAUAUAAUACUGAAUUUCAAUUCAACAUCAGAAAACUGAAUACUAACAGGGAUAUGAGGACAGGUAUUCGGUAGAGAACUUUGAUAGGAAUGGAAGUAAAAAGGCCAACAUCGUACGUACCUGCCCCAUUUACAGCUGUGACUUUUGUAAAACAUCCAUUAGACGUCUGCUAUAAAGGAAAACAUUGUUGGGACUUGGGAGCACGUCAAGUGUUGGGCUAUAAGAGCAACUCCACCUUUGGAGCCCUUCCCCCUGGCAAUUCACUAUUGAAUCCACCAUAUUGAACAGUAACUGCCUUUAAUGAAUAGUAACUACCAUUAAUGAAUAAUAAUUACAUUUUGCAUCUCCACCCUUAGAGCCCUCCCCCCUGGCAAUAGGUAAUAAAAUAGUAGUUUUUUUUGUUUGUUUAAAUAAUAUAAAAUAAAAAAACACAGGGAAAUGGGCUGUAGGGCCUUGGGCUGACACAAAAAAACAAUAAAAAAAUGUCUUGGCCCUCGGGCUGCAAGCCUGUCAACAAUCCACUCCCCUUGUGCUCGGGCUCCCACCCUCACUCGGGCCCUCCAUGGCUAGAGAAUAAUCAACUGGCCCUCGAGCCCCUUCCUGCAGCCCGUCCCCCGAGCAAAUGAGAAGGCUGGAGUUGCUCUAAAGGAAAACAUUGUUGGGGAGCACGUCAAGUGUUGGGCUAUAAAGGAAAACAUUGUUGGCAUAUUAGCACGGGAGACUAUUGUUUCACAUGGCGUGGAGCACGUCAAGUGUUGGGCUUCACACAUAAGAUAAUCUGCUCUGAUACCAAGAUGAAAAUUGUGGUUCCAUCGCCACUUAGUACUACAGUUUAGUGGUAUUCCUCUUCAGUUGUAAGUGAGAGAUUUUAAGUUCAAUUCUCGCCAAAGACAAAUUUGAACCACAUUAUUAUUAGUUCAUUGUGAGUCUAAGCCCAUCAUCUUUCCCUCAGUGUAGAUAAUGUCGUUUGUUAAAAAAAAAAAAAAGAGUAGUUGAGAUUCCAUCUUAAAACUAAUUGACAGUAUGAAGUGGAACUCAAUUACUUAUAAGCACGCAAAGUCCUUUCCUUACCUAAUAUGAGAUCUAUACUCACAACAUUUCACUGUUAAGCAAAUAUGUAAAAAAACAAAAUGGAACAAAUAAUUCAAUCACUUGACAAAAUAGAACUCACUGACGACAAUAUUAUGUUUGUUAAAGAUAGGAAUCACUGAAGACAAUAUUAUGUUUGUUAAGGAACAUGAAACCAACAGCUCUUAGCAACUAGUUGUGAAUUAUGUAUUUAUUUGCGUUCAUUUAAGUUGGUGGUUAGCCAUCCAAUUGUUCUUCCCCAUCAAUUUUUAGAAGAAAUCAAACCAAACUAGACUCGAGUGUUCAUAUACUCAUUGGAGUUGAAUAUAACAAUACGUAAAAUUCCAUCACUAAGAAGUAAGAAGCCAAUUGUAUCAAGACUUUGUAACAGCAGCAUGAAGGUCAGGAGUCAACUUGGAGGAGAAGAUCGUGAGCGGUUUCACCUAGCACUAGUUAACCGAACCCCAGAUUCUAUGUUCAUGGUUAUCGGCUAAUCCUCAACUCUUAUGUUCGGUGCUUAACUUCCGAACAUUGAACUUUUUGUCAAAUUUUGUGUUCAGAAUGUUCAAAUACAUGAUUCAAUCUAGUUGUAAUUUAUUUAAGAAAAUAGAAACAAACCCAAGAGGAUUUCAAAGAAAAGUGAUAGCAUAGGGCAAAACAUUGCAGCUCAAACGUCACUUACAUACUUCAAUGAUUUAGGGUUUUGGUCACGAUACCACCUUACAUCUCAUUUAAAUUAGCUAGUUAACAAAAGCCUUCAAGACCCCAGUUGUUCUAAGCUAAUCUAAACCUCACACCAAAGCAAACCUAUAUCAGCCCUACACUUUUAAUUUUGGACUGAGUCAACAUAUUUGGCCGUUACAAAUUUUGAAAAAACUAAGCCAUUACUUUUGUUUAAUACAAAAAAUUGGAAGCUAGAAAUCAAUUUAGGCAUCAACACUCUCCUUCAAAUUGUUUUUAGUUUUGACACCAAGCAAAUCCCUGAGGUAUACAAAAGUCUCUUUUAGCGUACCCUUAGUAAAUAUAUCAACAGUUUGAUCUUCAUAUUUGCAAUAGAGUAAUUCAAUCACAUUAUCUGAUGUACAAAGGAUCUCUAAUAAAGUGAUGGUUCCUCUUGACAUGUUUUGUUGUUUAGUGAAUCAGAGGAUAUCUUGUUAUAGCAAUUACAAAGGUGUUGUUGAAUUUUAGUGAUAUAGCAUCUACUUUGAAAAGGUAGCUGGGUUGAGGAACCCAAACCCAAUAGAUAAAUAAACUCAACUAAAAUUCCAAACGAGGAUUCAUGUACGGUUUCAAUCAUACUACGUAACAGUGAAGAACAAAAUGAAAUAGAGAAAAAAGAACAAAAGACUCACGAUAUAAUUCAUGGGCACACAACCGAUUAAAGAACCAUUGAGAAAUAAGUACUUUUACAAGACAGACAUCUACUACACUUGAAGUUUUCUCUUGUACUUUUAAUCAUGUAGCACACAGUCUUUCUUUUGCUCUCUUUUGGAUGAACAUGACGCACUCAGCAGAUUCUCCUCACGACUAAAGAAAUUGCACUCAACUUCGUCACGUAGAUAUGGACACAACUUAUUCACCCAAAUGAAUAUGAUGAAUAAUAUGAAAGGUAUGAAGUGUUUCACUAAGAUCACUUUUCUAACCUAGCACUCAAGAACUUUGCUUUAAACCUUUUAUGCUCAAAUCUUAUAACCAAGCAAAGAUGAAUGAUAGGCUUGAUUUCCUAUGAAACCAACAGCCUAGAAUAAAGGAAACUGGAACUAUGAACUAGAAUAAAUCAAAUUGGGUUUAUUUCUUAAAACUAAGCAAUUAAACUGAUAUUAUAAUCUUCAAGAUAUGCAAUGAUGUGAUUCUCGUUUCCUAUAUGAAUGCACAUGAUACUCCAAUAUAUGCCUUGAUGUGCACGUUUUCAGUAAUUAAACUAGAAACUACGACACGCCUAAAAUAUAGAACUAAUAUAUUGCAGACGCAUUAAACUUGUCUAGGAAAUUAGCCAAAUACAAAAGCUUGCGCUUUCACACUUGCAUUCAAUUAAGUCCUUAAGAACAAACCUCAGCCAAAUUGCUUGAGAAUAGCCUCUCCAAGGAAGAACAUCACUUCGAAAAAAGUCGUUUUGACUUUGGGCUUAAUCAAGGGUUGUAAUUCCUUUAAUUCUAAUGGUGAAAUUGGGUUAAGAUAAAAAAUACUUUUUUUUUAACAAAUGAUAUUAUCUACAUUAAGGAGAGAGUGAGCUAAACCUAACAAUGGGCUAGCAUAAUGUGGUUCAAAUUCGCUUUUGUCGAUAAUCUAACCUAAAACCUUUCAUUUACAAGUGAAGGGGAAAACCACUAGACUGUAGUACUAAGUGGCAAUUCUUUGGAUUAGUUUGGUAUUCCUGUGCUUUCUAAAAAAAUGUGAUUAUGUUGUCCUAUGAGAAUAAACAGUUGUUGCGUGUUGAUAACUUUUUUUUUUUUAAAGUGCUUUUAACAACAAAAAAUAGUGUCUGAGUGUUUGGUAAACUGUUAUAUAAAUUGUUGUGAAUGUGUUAAAUAACUAAAAAGGAUAUGGUAUGUAGUGUGAUAUAAUAAUUGUCAAAGACAAUAACGUAGGGGCAAAAAUUGUAAUUUUGUAAAAUGUGGGGUUGUACUUGCCUUUGAAAAUUUUAUUAAAUCAGCACUAAUUACUAUAUUUCGAAGAAAAAACAAAGCACUUUCUUUAGAAGCAUGGUAGACUCUGUUUUUGUUUUUUCUAUGCUUUUCUAUUGUCAUUAACAACAAUUUUUUUUUUAAAUCACUUUUUUUUUUGUUACUGUUGACCGUAAAAACUACCAAGCCUACGUGGCGCGUAGGCCGAGUAAUUAAUAAGCUAACUACGUCAUUCGGUUGUGUGUGGGGCAUGCCAACUCGUCGGCCGAACUCAGCCGGGGAGUAAAAUGUGUUGAUGUCAUGUUGGGCGUGCUAUUGACUUCUUGAUCUUACGACUGAGGCCGAGGAAGGAACACGUCUCGGCCUUCCGGAUCUAGAGCUUGAAGACAAGGUUGCUAGUUCUGCGAAGUUCAAAAUCAAAUUCAGCUUUCAAUGUGCCGAAUGUAGUAACCUGUAACACUUCACUUCGCCGAGAAGGCUAAUGAGAUGACCUCUGCCAAUAAGGAUUUGAAAAUCCUUCUCGACCGAGACUUAGAUAGAUAACCAGUCAGCCUAGACGCAGUGCUGUUUAUCUAAACUGUAGGUGCUCCGCGGUCGACUGAUUCUAUGGCAACAGUGCUGUUUAUCCAAACUGAAGAUGUUCGCCGGUUGCCUUCACAGUGAUGUUUAUCCAAACUGAAGAUGUGUUGGCGAAAAAGGAAAAUAAAAAUCUCAAGGUUGUUGAGAGGUUUCGCGUAGAGCGAGAGUUUGCGCAGGGCAGUUUGUGUGUUGAAUUGGAGGGGGUCAUCUUCUCGUUGCCACUGCCUCUGUAUUUAUAGGGACGCACCGACUUGAUCUUUGAAUAUUGCACGAGAUUUUUGGCGUGGAUCAGACUCAACCAAAUGCAUGGAGUUAUCAUGCAAUUAUCCAACCAAUUUAAAAUCUCCAUCAUUAUCUCCUUUUCUCCUUAUUUUGUCCAUCGUUAUCCAAGUAUUUGAUGAUCUCCAUGUGCUGGAACCAAGGCAUGCAAGUUUAUCUCUUAGCCAUGCAUUUCAAACUGAAGCAUCACAACAAUCCACUCAUCUUUCCACCAAAUUUGACCAGGUGCAAUCAUGCACUAUCAAUUUGCAGCAUACCACUUGAAUCUGUCAGUCAACCAAAUUGAUCUCACCCACACAUUCACACGCCAAACAUCCAAAAUCAACUUGAAUUGUGCUACCGUGUUUCCAGCUUGGAGAUACAUAUAUCAUCUUAAUUAUCAUUAAAAGAUAAUUAUCAUAAUAUUAUCCUUCAAUAAUAACAAAACGAUCUUCACUAUUCGAUCUGAUGGUCGGGGGCUAUGCUUACGCAAUGACCUUGAUUGCACGGGCCGAUGAUGUAAUUUUGGGUCCAAACAGUUACCAAACACACUUAAUGUUCCAGAUUUUUUAAAAGCAUUACAAUCCCAAACCAGCCAUUUGUUAAAAUGUUUAGAAUUUUCUCAACCAAAUGGCUCAAAUGUGUAGGGGGAAUACUAUUAUGUAGUUGGCAUUCAAUGACUUGCUUAAUUUCUUUGAUUAGUGAAUAUGUUCUAGAUUGUUAAAUUAUUUUGUAUAAACUUAGCAUCCAUAAAGCUUUUUAAGUUAAACCAUAUUCACUAGCAAGACCAUUUAAAUUGUACGAAGUAGAAGACAAUUCUGAGAUCAAUCAUAAUCAUGUUUCGAAUUUUCACAUUUUUGCAAUUGAGUUAUAAGGAAAGACAUUCACUAUUCUUCUAAGAAGAGGUUUGAAUUAAACCCAUUUGCAUCAAAUGGGUGGGUCGUUUGUGGAGUGGCAGCGGCACAAGAAACCAAGUGUGAUUUGCCUAAAGAGCCGUAAUCUCAUGUUGCAUGGCAGCACGCCAAUGGAGGUCUUGAACAGCCUGCGAAAACUUAUGGGUUCUUUAAUGACUGUGAGGUUAGCUGUAUAGGAUUUAUGGUAGGGUGAAAAACGAUUAUACGAUAAGUGGUGAGAGAGUGGAUGAGAGGUACCUGAUGACUUAACCACGUUCAUUGAAGAUGUCGAAGUAAGUCUUGACGAAAGAGAGGUCUCGACGUGAAAGUCCUGCAAAAAUGAGGAAGGCUUUGUGGGGACGUAUGACACGGCGGAGUGGUAAUGGUGUAGGUGCAGGGCUGGGCGGGGUGAAAUAAGGGCAGUAAGUGGUGUUUCUGGAGAAGGCAAGAUCAUGUUCGGUAUUUGCGACGGUGAUAAAGGUGGCUGCAAUAUUUCUGGUGUUGGUUGGCAGAUAAGGUUUGUGUGGUAUCAUGGGAUUCAAGAGAUAACUUGUCCGAUGUGAUGACUUGAGGAAUGGUGGGAGGGAAAGAGUCCAUAUCUAAGUGCAAUGGUGAGAAGUUUGUAUUGAACAAGGAAUUAGAGGCAGCGGAAAUGUCUGAGGU
rnacentral:lncRNA from 1 species